rnacentral:rRNA from 1 species
CCUACGGGAGGCAGCAGUAGGGAAUAUUGCACAAUGGGGGAAACCCUGAAGCAGCAACGCCGCGUGGAGGAUGAAGGUUUUCGGAUUGUAAACUCCUGUUGUUAGAGAAGAUUAUGACGGUAACCAACGAAGAAAGCCCGGCUAAAUUCGGGCCAGCAGCCGCGGUAAUAAGGAGGGUGGAAGCGUUAGUCGGAAUCACUUGGCGUAAAGGGCGCGGAGGGGGGGUGGCAAGUCAGAUGUGAAAUCCUAUGGCUUAACCUUGGAACUGGAAUUGAUACUGGUAUUCUUGAGUAUGGUAGAGGUAGGUGGAAUUCUUGGUGUAGGGGUAAAAUGCGUAGAGAUCAAGAGGAAUACUCGUGGCGAAGGCGACCAGCUGGAACUUAACUGACGCUGAUGCUCGAAAGUGUGGGGAGCAAACAGGAUUAGAUACCCGAGUAGUC